AAGGAUCAUUACCUAGAGUUGUAGGCUUUGCCUGCUAUCUCUUACCCAUGUCUUUUGAGUACCUUACGUUUCCUCGGCGGGUCCGCCCGCCGAUUGGACAAUUUAAACCAUUUGCAGUUGCAAUCAGCGUCUGAAAAAACAUAAUAGUUACAACUUUCAACAACGGAUCUCUUGGUUCUGGCAUCGAUGAAGAACGCAGCGAAAUGCGAUAAGUAGUGUGAAUUGCAGAAUUCAGUGAAUCAUCGAAUCUUUGAACGCACAUUGCGCCCCUUGGUAUUCCAUGGGGCAUGCCUGUUCGAGCGUCAUUUGUACCCUCAAGCCUUGCUUGGUGUUGGGUGUUUGUCUCGCCUCUGCGUGUAGACUCGCCUCAAAACAAUUGGCAGCCGGCGUAUUGAUUUCGGAGCGCAGUACAUCUCGCGCUUUGCACUCAUAACGACGACGUCCAAAAGUACAUUUUUACACUCUUGACCUCGGAUCAGGUAGGGAUACCCGCUGAACUUAAGCAU
rnacentral:rRNA from 1 species